AGGAUGAACGCUGGCGGCGUGCCUAACACAUGCAAGUCGAACGCUCUCCAUUCGGUAGCAAUACCGAUGAAGAGGGAGUGGCGAACGGGUGAGUACCACGUGAGCAACCUGCCCCGAAGACUGGGACAACACCGGGAAACCGGGAUUAAUACCGGAUACAACCACUUUAGACAUCUUUUGUGGUGGAAAGAAUUUUGGCUAGGGAUGAACUCGCGGCCUAUCAGCUUGUUGGUGAGGUAACGGCUCACCAAGGCGACGACGGGUAGCCGGCCUGAGAGGGCGACCGGCCACACUGGGACUGAGACACGGCCCAGACUCCUACGGGAGGCAGCAGUGGGGAAUAUUGCGCAAUGGGCGAAAGCCUGACGCAGCGACGCCGCGUGGGGAUGAAGGCCUUCGGGUUGUAACCCUUUCAGCAGGGACGAAGCGAAAGUGACGGUACCUGCAGAAGAAGCGCCGGCUAACUACGCGCCAGCAGCCGC
rnacentral:rRNA from 1 species